AUUGAACGCUGACGGCAGGCCUAAUACAUGCAAGUCGGACGGUAACAUAAGAAAAGCUUGCUUUUCUUGAUGACGAGUGGCGGACGGGUGAGUAAUAUUUGGGAAACUACCUGAUAGAGGGGGACAACAGUUGGAAACGACUGCUAAUACCGCAUACAGCCUCAGGGUGAAAGAAGCGAUUCGCUAUCAGAUGUGCCCAAACGGGAUUAGCUAGUAGGUGAGGUAAAGGCUCACCUAGGCGACGAUCUCUAGCUGGUCUGAGAGGAUGAUCAGCCACAUUGGGACUGAGACACGGCCCAGACUCCUACGGGAGGCAGCAGUAGGGAAUAUUGCACAAUGGAGGAAACUCUGAUGCAGCCAUGCCGCGUGUGUGAAGAAGGCCUUCGGGUUGU
rnacentral:rRNA from 1 species